GGAAAAAAGAAAUCAGUCUAAACCACUCACCAAGCAUGCUAAGAAUGCUGCCAUGAGCUCCCAACACUAAAAGAGCCCAACAUCUCCGCCAGAGAGAGAGAGAGUGUGAAAACAAGAGAGAAGAAGUGAUGCGAAAUAUAUAGACCAUUCUUUACAUCACUUCCUGCAUCUCACAUGUACCAAUGGUAGCUUGAGCUUGACUUAGGACAGCCCAGGGGAUCUGUCAAUUGGUUUUUAUUUUUCACUUGCUAGCACAGGUUGGUCAUAGGCCAUCCUCCUCAACACUUAAUCCUAAAGUAGGGGUGUAUACAUUCCUGGUUGCUAAUAUUUUAAAGACUAAUCAGGGUGGAGAAAAUCUAAAAUUCACAAUAUUGAUGUGAUGAGGUACACCUAUAAUUAUGAGAAAUCAUGAACAAGGACUUAGAAAAAGCUGUCAAACUUGAAAAGCUAGGACAUCCCCAACCACCACUCACUGUUCUGAAUUCUACUAGGACUUAUACAAUCAAAUGAAAUUUAUUUCCUUCAAAGAGAUUCUGUUGGAAGGAUACUCAUUCAUCCCAACACUGCUACUUCUGCUCAAGCAUGCCAGGAUUUUCUUUGGGAAAUACCUUCCCAAGAAGCUUACAAGACAGUCCCAUUACUUGAUGGCCAUACUUUAUUUACCAAAAUAAUAUUAGGUUUAAAAAUCAAAUCCACUAUCACAGGGUGCAGAUUUAUAACUAUCAUGGAUAAGAUCAUAUAUUUAGAAACGGGAAGAACUUUAGAGACCAUUUUGCAGAUGAAAAGCUAAAAUCCAGAGCAGGUAAAAAAAAUUGCCCAAUGCCACACAGGUAGUAAAAUCACAGAACUUCGGCCCUCUGGAUUUGAACCUAGAAUCUACAAAAUAAAUAAAUAAGCAAUAGAUAAAUCCAGGACUCAACAUCCACUGUACCACGUUGCUUAAAGUGCAAUCUUUGAAACA